GAAAUGCGAUAAGUAGCGUGAAUUGCAGAAUUCAGUGAAUCAUCGAAUCUUUGAACGCACAUUGCGCCCUUUGGUAUUCCUUAGGGCAUGCCUGUUCGAGCGUCAUUUGUAACCUCAAGCUCAGCUUGGUGUUGGGUGUCUGUCCCCGCCCCGCGCGGGGACUCGCCUCAAAAACAUUGGCGGCCGGUACGUUGGCUUCGAGCGCAGCAGAAACGCGAACUCGAGGCCCGACGGAUCGGCGACCAGAAGUCACUUCUUCCACAGCUUGACCUCGGAUCAGGUAGGGAUACCCGCUGAACUUAAGC
rnacentral:misc_RNA from 1 species